AGCCUUGUUGAAGGAAGUGUGUCACUGUUGGGGGCGGGCUUUGAGGUAUCUUUUGCUCAAGAUUUCACCAAUGCGACUUUUAGUUGACUUCCUGUAGUCUGCAUGCCGCUAUGCUCCACAUCUGUUGCCUUCAAGACACAGCACUCUGUCUGCACACCGCUGCGCUCCCCAUCGUGAUCAUAAUGGGCUGAACCUCUGCAACUAUAGUGCGGCAGAGCCCAGGCGACUGGCAAGGAAGACUACACUCUACAGAUCCCCCCCUCUCCUCUUGUGUUGGAUGGCCUACAACCACCUGCAAUAUCCAGAAGGGAAAAACAUCUUGCUUAUUAAAAGGCAGAAGAGACGGCUCAGCAGGUAAGGACACUGCCACUCUUGUAGAGGACCCAGG